rnacentral:ncRNA from 2 species
GCUUCCAAGGAGCGUUGCAGCGGGCCGCACGGCCAGCCAGGCUUGGAUACCUUUCAACGACGCUCACCUGAU